CCAUUUUUGGUAAGCAGAACNGGCGCUGUGGGAUGAACCAAACGCUGGGUUACGGCGCCCGAUGCAGACGCCUAUCAGACCCCAUGAAAGGUGUUGGUUGCUAUAGACAGCAGGACGGUGGCCAUGGAAGUCGGAAUCCGCUAAGGAGUGUGUAACANCUCACCUGCCGAAGCAACUAGCCCUGAAAAUGGAUGGCGCUCCNGCGUCGAGCCCAUACCCAGCCACCGGUGGCAAAGAGAACGGGUCAAAGGAACCGGCCGACACGUCCGUCGACCUUCCUCCGGAUCGGAGGCCCCGGUGAGUAGGAGGGUCGCAGCGGUAAGCGUUGAAGGUGUCGGGCGCGAGCCCGCCUGGAGCUUCCGCUGGUGCAGAUCUUGGUGGUAGUAGCAAAUACUCGAGUGAGAACCUUGAGGACUGAAGUGGAGAAGGGUUCCAUGUGAACAGCAGUUGAACAUGGGUCAGUCGGCCCUAAGGAAUAGGGGAAACCCAUUCCGAAUCGGGUGGAUUAUUGGCAAACGCAAAUAAAUACCACAUAUACAUAUCUGCAAACCGUCCGUGCAGGUGUUGGUGGUGCCCAGAUGAUAAACCCCCGAAUGAUCGAAAGGGAAUCGGGUUAAUAUUCCCGAACCCGGAUGCAGAGAUCGGCCCUUCGGGGCCCAAUGCGGUAACGCAAACGAACUCGGAAACGUCGGCGGGAGUCCCGGGAAGAGUUGUCUUUUCUUUGUAAGGAACGUACUCCCUGGAAUCGGCUCGCCCGGAGAGAGGGAUGUUGUUUCCGUAAAGCACCGCGGCUCUUGCGGUGUCCGGAGCACUCUCGCCGGCCCUUGAAAAUCCGAGGGAGAGAAAAUGAUUUUGCACCGGACCGUAC
rnacentral:rRNA from 1 species